rnacentral:rRNA from 1 species
UACGAAGGGGGCGAGCGUUGUUCGGAAUUACUGGGCGUAAAGGGCGCGUAGGCGGUUGUUUAAGUGAGAUGUGAAAUCCCUGGGCUUAACCUAGGAACUGCAUCUCAUACUGGGCAGCUAGAGUAUUGUAGAGGGUAGUGGAAUUUCCGGUGUAGCGGUGAAAUGCGUAGAGAUCGGAAGGAACACCAGUGGCGAAGGCGGCUACCUGGACAAAUACUGACGCUGAGGCGCGAAAGCGUGGGGAGCAAACAGG